AGCUCCCAAAACCUUGCUUUCCUCCACUUUUCUCAACAAAUCAACCAUGGAUCUUGCAUCAAGGAUGGAGAAUAAGAGGAGAUCACCACUUUCUACCGAAUGGAAUUUCGAAAUUUUUGAGGGCAUAACCUGAGAAGGACAAGCACUCCGUUAUAGCACUGUAACCAACCAGGACGUUCGUCCCCUUUUGUCAACCUUUACGAGUCCAGGCACUAAGCGAGAUCACCCAGUUUUGUGAAGCUUU